UUAAUGUUACAUGGUUAGAUUUAAUUAAAAACAUGAUACAGAGAAGAUUAGCAUGGCUCCUGUACAAAGAUAACACACAAAUUCGUGAAGCAUUCCAUAUUUUA